CAUGAUGAUAUUCCAACUCCUGUCUACAAAAGUGGGAAGAAAAUCUUAAGUCUAUGUUGGGACCAACAUGGUUGCAUUCUUCUGAGAGGCUGAGGUGACAAAACCAUUCCCAUUUGUCCUUGGAUUGGAAGAUGGCGAUCUCUGCCAUCAAGCCUUCGUUGUUUUUGACAGACAGUCACUCCAGCAAUACACCCUCCUUGGUGAUGUUGACAUGUUUUAAACUUUUUUUAUGUUUUGGACAUUAAUUUUACUAAGCAGUGCACAUCAGUGUGGGUGUUUUUGAAGACUGUUGUUUACAAACUCCCAAGAACAGAAUCCCUUUCUAUAAGAAGUCUGUGUAGUUAUUUGUCAUGCUGAUAACUGUUACAUUAACCAUUUCUUAUUACACGGUUCUCUAAAAUGCUAGAUUCUGAUUGGCCAGUCGUGACAUUCUACUACUGCUCAAAACUAAAAACUCCAAUGCUGCAAAUCAUUUUGACAGGUACAGUCUUAUAUUACACAAAAAUUAAAUAUCAAUGUCUAUUAAUUACAUAUCCGACAUUAAAUUUACAAAUGAUUAAACCAAUGUGUUCGUGACAUUUGUCCUGAAGAAACUGUUGGGGCUUUUUUUCUGUGAUGACAUGCUGCCAAUACAUUAUCCCUUACUUGUACAACUUUUUACAUGAUCUAAUUGUAAUGAUAACUGGGUUUCUGUCAUUUUAGAUUGUGAGAUAUAAUACUAAUAUAUUUUUUAUCAGAAAGUUGAUUGUUUGUGUAGGGCUAUGUACUCUCUUAUUGUUCAUGUGCAAUAAAUAUGCUUUUUCAAUUAAA